UUCAAUUCGACAGCUGUUUGUAUGGCAUCAGGAUUGAUUGAUAAAGCCGUCUGCUCGUCUGUUAUAAACACACAUUAUUCAUCCAUACCUACCGGAUGGGAACGAAACAAGCGUAAGAGCCACCGCAACUAUCACUGCAUCUCAUCAGCAAGAGGAAUCAGUUUCGUGCAAUUUUUUUAAGGUCUACGGGCUUUGACAAAGGAUUUCGCGCCAAAAGGCGACUUAAAUGAUGAAAAGUCACAAAGCGCAGCGAGGCGUGGUAAAUUACCACAAGGGAAACACUGAGAACAGGGAAUGGUGGCAGCGUGACAGCUUAAUGCAAACGUGAAAACACGAUGGCGGAGAGGCGGUGAGUAAACGAGAUCGUGCUAGCAGACGAGUGGUGUCGCAUAAACGACAACAAUGACCGACGAGUUGCUAAACCAUCCAGGCCUUCGGCAUGCCGAAACUGGCGUUGAACUUGCGUCGUUGGCCUGUUCGCAGUAAGCACUUGUUUAGUAAGGGAACAAACCUUUAGCGAUAACAAAAGUAACAGCAGCCUACCACGAAAGCAGACUCCUUUUUCGUGCUUUGUUUUCACGUAAGGUGCAGCUAAAGUUUCGUAAAGACUAGGAUGUUAGGUUGCUGAGUUCUGCUCAUGAGCACUUGAGGCGGGCGUAAGAUAUUGUAUCUAUAAGGAGAAAAGAAUGUCGCAAUACCCGUGGUAUAACUCAAUGGUAGGACUAAAUAUGGCUAUAGCUCAAGAAACGCGUGUUCCAGUGACGUGCUCACUCACAAAAAUAAAUAUACAAGGCGCAGUAGACAUAGGCUUGCAGUGGAGGUUACACGAUGGCAAAAUAGGGUUUUAAAUUGGUUGAAGAAGACCAGGAAUCGCUGCGCUACGUUCCGCCAACGACACAUUCUGCACAUUGUACGAAUGGAGCAUGCUGUUUUCACUUUGGAAAAAGGUUGGUUGAAAGGGGUGCUGCCUCGACUGUAGACCUAUGGUCUUCAUAUAUAUAUAUAUGCUGCUUGAUAUAAUAUUCGCUCCUUAUAUUAUAUGUAAGACAAUGUUGUUAAUCACUACGGCAGACACACUUAUAUUUCAAGGUAUUCGUUGCUACAAGUAGCUAUUUAACUACUUAAUAGAACGAAAACCUUGACGAGUUGAUGAAGAAAUAGGUCUUUUUGAGCUUCGACGGUACAAAAAGUUUGGAACGACGGAAGUUUUAAAAAUCGGAAGGCAAACUCUGUUAGAAUUAUUAGCAAAAAGCGACAAAGUUUAUAAACGUCGGCCGAAAUAUUAAAACUAGAGCGAUCUAUUACAGUAUACUAUGGAAAAAUAAAAGCAGUCUUUGAAUUUCGCAGUCCUUUAUAAAAACUAACUCUCAGCGCCAUGCGAGCGUUUUUCAGUGAUUCAGAACUUCUUUUCGUGUGGCAUUGCGACUUCCAGCGUUCACCCCCGAGAUAGAGGCAACGUUUAGCCUCAUGUUUGUAGGACCCGUACCUGUGUUCAGGUGCUAACAAUUCAUCAAUCUUUAGAGAAGCCACCUAUUGCGUGUUGGACAGUUUUAGCUCUAGGCGGCACAUUUACUCUGACUGUCGAGGCAUUUGUUUUCUGAAACUGUCGUUGUCUUAAGCUGCUACUAGACUAAUUACAUUAAGUGCAUUGACACACAAUCGUUAAACAACCGCUGGAGGACUGAUCUUAGACAACUUGAUAUUGACUUAAACAUGAAAUACAAUAACCAGCUGGUCUAUGAUAUCCCCUGGGUAUGUGUGACAAAAGGCUAUUAUAUCAUACUAACAGAGCAAUAGAAUAAACACCUUAACCAAAAAAACACAUACAUUAAUCUACCCUAAAGGUAUUACUUUUAAAAGCAGUUUCUUUUGCCAUCUACUUUUAAUAAUACGUACGGAGUUUACAAUUCUGCAACGGCAGCUAGUUCAAUUGGAAAACUUUGUCUGCUGCAUAUCUUCAAAAAAAUGGGAUGAUUUAGAGGCUAUUGCGUAUACGUACCCGAGAAAGGAGCUUUUGGAGCUAGCUGUGUCUUUCCGUCACUAAAGGCUUCAGUCAUUCCGUGACUGCUUGAAGCACAUGCUCGAUUACUCCGUUGUACCGUAAGCGUCCUACAGCCGUUUCGAUGUGUCUGAUGUAGUUCCUUUAAAGAUAAUCCUGCCGCAUGUGAAGCAGAUCAUGUUUUCCGUCAGGACGACGCCGAAGUCCCCAAAGAAAUACUGCGCAGCAUGCAACGCCCGGAUCAAAGCGUUCCACAUCACCCUCGGGCCAGAAUCAGCUGCACAACACGGGUGCAAUAGUGCACCAAGAUUUAGAAAACCUCACCGCUUGGGCCUUUUAAGGCGCCUAUAAAAUCUACCCUUGGAUGCUUGAGACGCUGAAGGGGUUUAUAAAGUCUAUCUCAAUUUUUCAACGGGGCGUUCUGCAACUAGCGCCGGGUGGAGCAGGUCGCACCGCUCUUGGUUCUGGGGGCGUCAAGCGGAGCGCGUCACGCCGCUUUAAGUCUCAGGGGCGCCGAGUGGAGUCCGUCGCUCUGGAUCUCAUUACGCCGUUGGUGGACCUCGCAAUGGGUCAACAUUUCCCGCACCCGCGUCGUAAGCUCGCCCCUAAUAAGAAAGCGAUCUUUAACGUGUUACAAUGCAUUGCGCCUGCUAAUGUCUGCUGCCAUCCUCCCUGAGUAACAUUAGGUGAUAGCACCAGGUUGGAAUGAUAGAACAUAAAGAGCGACGCGAGACUUUUUUAAAUUAGCAAUUAUCUUACACAGAAAAGUGUCCCUUCUUUGUGCCUUGCGAGGGGCUAUUCCAUUUCAGCGGCACGGUUGACAUCCACAUUGGGGCUAGGGGAAUCUUGCCCGUAAAUAACUUUCAAAGGUGUGCUCCUGUAAGGUCAGAGCCCACCGCCUUCUUUCUUUGAACGAAGGUUCAUUUUCUCCUUGAAGUUCUUUAGCGCAGUGCUGUUAACAAACGCACGUAACGUGUCGCUCAUACCAGUGCGGUCGGAAUUUUUCAACGGCCGCGCUAUCUUUGAAAAAUGCUAUUGCUUUUCCUUCAGAACGACGGAUAGCAUGACUGACGAUUCGCUCGCGGUCUUGUUCUAUGUGAGUCAGUGCUGACCCCUUUUUCUGUUUAAGUUAGUACUACCUCCAGCUCGAUCCUCUGGUGUCUGUUUGUAGCCUUGUUUCCAGAUCCUGCCAAAAAGUGUACAGGACGGAUUUUCCGUGAUCUUGCAAUCGCCGAUAGGCCCCAUAAUGGUCAACGUUUCAAACAAAGUCCUUCAGGUUGACCACGCCGCAGACCGGGCUAGCGAUUCCCUCCUAUCCCACAUAAACCCCCUGGUAAUAAAAAACUAGUCCCAAGAAACUUUAAAACUUUUUAGCGGACGUGAGGAGGGGAGGGUUUUUACUUUCUGAGCCUUCUUGAGAUCCGCGGAGAUUCUGGCGGCCGUGAUCUUGAAUUUUAUAGGGAUCCGUGGAAAUUUCAACGACCGUGAUAUUGGCGUAGAUUAAAAAAAUAGUUUUGCAACUCAUCUUCCGAGUUUCAAAAGUACAUUUUUUGUUUUCAGUCGUAGGCCGG
rnacentral:lncRNA from 1 species